UACGUAGGGUGCGAGCGUUAAUCGGAAUUACUGGGCGUAAAGCGCGCGCAGGCGGUUCGUUGUGUCGGUGGUGAAAUCCCCGGGCUUAACCUGGGAAUGGCCAUGGAAACUGGCGAACUGGAGUGCGGCAGAGGGGGGUGGAAUUCCGCGUGUAGCAGUGAAAUGCGUAGAGAUGCGGAGGAACACCGAUGGCGAAGGCAGCCCCCUGGGCUAGCACUGACGCUCAGGCACGAAAGCGUGGGGAGCAAACAGG
rnacentral:rRNA from 1 species